UACGAAGGGGGCUAGCGUUGCUCGGAAUCACUGGGCGUAAAGGGUGCGUAGGCGGGUCUUUUAAGUCAGGGGUGAAAUCCUGGAGCUCAACUCCAGAACUGCCUUUGAUACUGAGGAUCUUGGAGUCCGGGAGAGGUGAGUGGAACUCCGAGUGUAGAGGUGAAAUUCGUAGAUAUUACGGAAGAACACCAGUGGCGAAGGCGGCUCACUGGCCCGGUACUGACGCUGAGGUGCGAAAGCGUGGGGAGCGAACAGG
rnacentral:rRNA from 1 species